rnacentral:rRNA from 1 species
UACGGAGGGAGCUAGCGUUGUUCGGAAUUACUGGGCGUAAAGCGCGCGUAGGCGGCUUUGUAAGUUAGAGGUGAAAGCCCGGGGCUCAACCCCGGAACUGCCUUUAAGACUGCAUCGCUUGAAUCCAGGAGAGGUGAGUGGAAUUCCGAGUGUAGAGGUGAAAUUCGUAGAUAUUCGGAAGAACACCAGUGGCGAAGGCGGCUCACUGGACUGGUAUUUGACGCUGAUGUGCGAAAGCGUGGGGAGCAAACAGG